rnacentral:rRNA from 1 species
GUAGGUGACCUGCGGAAGGAUCAUUAACGAGUUAGGGUCUCUCUGGCCCGACCUCCCAACCCUUUGUCUACUUGACCAUCGUUGCUUCGGCGAGCCCGUCCUCACGGACCGCCGGAGGGAUCUUUACUGGCCCUCUGGUCCGCGCUCGUCGGUAGCCCAACCUUUAAAAUCUUUAACUAAACGUGCCUUAAUCUAAGUACAAUUAUUAAAUAAAAGCAAAACUUUCAACAACGGAUCUCUUGGUUCUGGCAUCGAUGAAGAACGCAGCGAAAUGCGAUAAGUAAUGCGAAUUGCAGAAUUCCAGUGAGUCAUCGAAUCUUUGAACGCACAUUGCGCCCUUUGGUAUUCCGAAGGGCAUGCCUGUUCGAGCGUCAUUAUCACCCCUCAAGCCCUCGGCUUGGUGUUGGACGGUUUGGUGGAGGCCCCCUCGGGGGUUCCUGCCCCUCCCAAAGACAAUGACGGCGGCCUCGUUGGACCCCCGGUACACUGAGUUCUUCACGGGACACGUAUCGGACACAUGGGUUUACGGGACACGGUCUGCCUCCCCUCAGGGAGAAUCUUUCUAAGGUUGACCUCGGAUCAGGUAGGGAUACCCGCUGAACUUAAGCAUAUCAAUAAGCGGAGGAAAAGAAACCAACA